UACGGGGGGGCAAGCGUUGUUCGGAAUUACUGGGCGUAAAGGGCUCGUAGGUGGCCAACUAAGUCAGACGUGAAAUCCCUCAGCUUAACUGGGGACUGCGUCUGAUACUGGAUGGCUUGAGUUUUUGGGGGAGAGGGGGAUGCGGAAUUCAGGUGUAGCGGUGAAAAAUGCGUAGAUAUCUGGAGGAACACCGGUGGCGAAGGCGGAUCUCUGGGGCCGAUACUGACGCUGAGGGGAGCGAAAAGCGUGGGGAGCGAACAGG
rnacentral:rRNA from 1 species